rnacentral:rRNA from 1 species
AUCGUAGGUCAGCAUACUACGGUGAAUACGUUCCCGGGCCUUGUACACACCGCCCGUCAAACCAUGAGAGUUGGCAACACCCGAAGUCGGUAGUCUAACCGCAAGGAGGACGCCGCCAAGGUGGGGGUUGAUGAUUAGGGUUAAGUCGUAACAAGGUAUC